UGUUUCAAUUUGGAAUCUGUCAUUCGCACACAAAAUUAUUUAUUGUGUUUUCUCAUCUUCGUGUUCAGGUGAUAUUAAAACACAGUGAGUGAUAAACAGAACCAAAUUGUGUUAAUAGCACACCAAGCACAGAAGCAGAUACAGGAGGAAAAUGCAAUUUUGUAAACUCUCCAUUCGAUGUAUCAAUCGAAUGUUAGCAUACUGGGUUAUUGAGAGCAUCUGCGUCCCGUAAUAGUUUUGCUUAAGAACAACUAUUUAAAUAAAAAAUAAUGCAAGCUUGUACAAAACGAGGCCAAGUUUUGUGGGCACGAAAAACAUUUGCGCACGUUGUCUUUUGUAAAUGUAUGCGUAUGUAUGUAUGAAAUGUAUGAUGAAAGGGAUGAGUACGUUAGGUUUACCACAUUCAUUUAAUGUUGCCGUUUUACGAGUAAUAGGUUGUUGGGUUUUCUUGAAAUUUGAAUUUAUUUUUAACUAUUCAAGUUGAAAUAAUGUAUGUAUGUGACAGCUCGAAAAUAAAAAAGUUUUUUAUUUA